rnacentral:misc_RNA from 1 species
AAGUCGUAACAAGGUUUCCGUAGGUGAACCUGCGGAAGGAUCAUUGAUGAAUUCGAGGCGACGCCGGACUGUGCUGGCCCCUUGGGGCAUGUGCACGUCUGCCGUCGUCCAUCUCACACACACACCCGUGCACCCUUUGGAGGCGCGGCUCGUUCGUAAGGUUUGCCGGCGUCUCGUCGGCUCUCUCUCGGAGCGCGUCGUUCUCCUCUUUUUCAUACACACCUUUUGAAUGUCCCGCGUGUCAUUGUGUAAUCUUAUACAACUUUCAACAACGGAUCUCUUGGCUCUC